rnacentral:rRNA from 1 species
UAUUAUACUAAAAAGUAAAAGUGAAAAGGCCAGAUUAUUAAUAGAUAUGUUCUUUAAAUUUAAAGAAUUUGGCGGUGAUUUAGUCUUGUCAGAGGAACCUGUUUUUGAAUCGAUAAUCCACGUGAAAUCUUACUUGUUUUUGUUUUCAGCUUAUAUACCGUCAUUAGCAGACAAUUUUAAAAGAAUUAAUUGUUGAGAUUUAUAUUACUAAUAAAAAUUAGAUCAAGGUGUAGCUUAUAAACAAGUUAAAAUGGGUUACAAUAAAUUAUAUUUAUAACGAAAUAAUUAAGGAAGAAUAAUUAAAAAGGAGGAUUUGAUUGUAAUUUAAGUUUAAUAUGCUUGAGAGAUAUGAGCUCUAAAUCAU